rnacentral:rRNA from 1 species
AGUGAACGCUGGCGGUAGGCCUAACACAUGCAAGUCGAACGGCAGCACAGUAAGAGCUUGCUCUUACGGGUGGCGAGUGGCGGACGGGUGAGGAAUACAUCGGAAUCUACUUUUUCGUGGGGGAUAACGUAGGGAAACUUACGCUAAUACCGCAUACGACCUACGGGUGAAAGCAGGGGAUCUUCCGACCUUGCGCGAUUGAAUGAGCCGAUGUCGGAUUAGCUAGUUGGCGGGGUAAAGGCCCUCCAAGGCGACGAUCCGUAGCUGGUCUGAGAGGAUGAUCAGCCACACUGGAACUGAGACACGGUCCAGACUCCUACGGGAGGCAGCAGUGGGGAAUAUUGGACAAUGGGCGCAAGCCUGAUCCAGCCAUACCGCGUGGGUGAAGAAGGCCUUCGGGUUGUAAAGCCCUUUUGUUGGGAAAGAAAAGCAGCAGGUUAAUACCCCGCUGUUCUGACGGUACCCAAAGAAUAAGCACCGGCUAACUUCGUG